AUGAACGCUGGCGGCGUGCCUAAUACAUGCAAGUCGAGCGAACAGACGAGGAGCUUGCUCCUCUGACGUUAGCGGCGGACGGGUGAGUAACACGUGGAUAACCUACCUAUAAGACUGGGAUAACUUCGGGAAACCGGAGCUAAUACCGGAUAAUAUAUUGAACCGCAUGGUUCAAUAGUGAAAGACGGUUUUGCUGUCACUUAUAGAUGGAUCCGCGCCGCAUUAGCUAGUUGGUAAGGUAACGGCUUACCAAGGCAACGAUGCGUAGCCGACCUGAGAGGGCGAUCGGCCACACUGGAACUGAGACACGGUCCAGACUCCUACGGGAGGCAGCAGUAGGGAAUCUUCCGCAAUGGGCGAAAGCUUGACGGAGCAACGCCGCGUGAGUGAUGAAGGUCUUCGGAUCGUAAAACUCUGUUAUUAGGGAAGAACAAAUGUGUAAGUAACUAUGCACGUCUUGACGGUACCUAAUCAGAAAGCCACGGCUAACUACGUG
rnacentral:rRNA from 1 species